GAUGAACGCUGGUGGCGUGCCUAAUACAUGCAAGUCGAGCGAACAGAUAAGGAGCUUGCUCCUUUGACGUUAGCGGCGGACGGGUGAGUAACACGUGGGUAACCUACCUAUAAGACUGGGAUAACUUCGGGAAACCGGAGCUAAUACCGGAUAACAUUUGGAACCGCAUGGUUCUAAAGUGAAAGAUGGUUUUGCUAUCACUUAUAGAUGGACCCGCGCCGUAUUAGCUAGUUGGUAAGGUAACGGCUUACCAAGGCGACGAUACGUAGCCGACCUGAGAGGGUGAUCGGCCACACUGGAACUGAGACACGGUCCAGACUCCUACGGGAGGCAGCAGUAGGGAAUCUUCCGCAAUGGGCGAAAGCCUGACGGAGCAACGCCGCGUGAGUGAUGAAGGGGUUCGGCUCGUAAAACUCUGUUAUUAGGGAAGAACAAAUGUGUAAGUAACUGUGCACGUCUUGACGGUACCUAAUCAGAAAGCCACGGCUAACUACGUG
rnacentral:rRNA from 1 species